AUGCUCACUUCAACAACACAUAUACUGAUAGUUGAAUAAUGCAGAGAAGGUUAAUGUGGCCCCUGUGCAAGAAUGACACAUAAAUUUGCAAAGCACUCCAAGUUUUU
ensembl:snRNA U6 U6 spliceosomal RNA